rnacentral:tRNA from 14 species
GGACACAUAGCUCAGUUGGUAGAGCAGCUGACUCUUAAUCAGCGGGUCCUUGGUUCGAGCCCAAGUGUGUCCACCA